GAUGCUCAGAUCAGACCAACUGCCUUGAAGAAGCAGAAACCGGCUGAGCUGCCUGCAGGCUGUGCAGUGUGCUCCAGGGCUGUCACCAGUGCUGGGGUGGGCCUUGGUGCUGUAGCUGUCAUCUCUGCUCUCAUAACUAACCCCCCACUCAAACACAUCUGCAGAAUCGCCAUGACACAGGACAGUCCUGAUGAGGAUCCAGUAUUGGUGGUGUCAAAGAACCCAGAGAUCUCAAACCAGACCAAUGACUCUUGUGAAGAUGUGUGGACAGAGGGGUGCUCUGUGGGACACACUGUGCCACACUGUAGCUUCCAAGUUCCACCCGCUCUGCGUUGUUAGUGUCAGAUAUUUUACCUCAGUCUUCCUUCAUCAUGAUGUGAGUUGCGGUGGUCAGCCUCGGCUUUAAACAGUGCACGCAUGGGAAGUUCCAGGAGAACAAGUCAUAGGUUCCCAAAUGGGCACCGCUCCAAGCAGUGUGACGAAGUUCUGUGCUGCCCUGUCACGUCCUGCGUAGGAUGUGAGUCACCCCUCACCCACCAUGUCCACACUGUACUCCUCUGGCUCCCGUAGGAGUCCCCAAGGUUUUCAGAGCCACUGUCAUAGUGAGAGUAGUGACACGGACAGUGUAGACACACCAAAGUGAAACUAUGGAGUACUUACCUAAGUGCCACCCUUCAUCACCCCAGGAGGAAAAGAAGU